rnacentral:rRNA from 1 species
GGUUAAGCGACUAAGCGUACACGGUGGAUGCCCUGGCAGUCAGAGGCGAUGAAGGACGUGCUAAUCUGCGAAAAGCGUCGGUAAGGUGAUAUGAACCGUUACAGCCGGCGAUGUCCGAAUGGGGAAACCCAGUGCAAUUCGUUGCACUAUCGUUAACUGAAUACAUAGGUUAACGAGGCGAACCGGGGGAACUGAAACAUCUAAGUACCCCGAGGAAAAGAAAUCAACCGAGAUUCCCCCAGUAGCGGCGAGCGAACGGGGAGCAGCCCAGAGUCUGAAUCAGCUUGUGUGUUAGUGGAACGGUCUGGAAAGUCCGACGGUACAGGGUGAUAGUCCCGUACACCAAAAUGCACAGGUUGUGAACUCGAAGAGUAGGGCGGGACACGUGGUAUCCUGUCUGAAUAUGGGGGGACCAUCCUCCAAGGCUAAAUACUCCUGACUGACCGAUAGUGAACCAGUACCGUGAGGGAAAGGCGAAAAGAACCCCGGCGAGGGGAGUGAAAAAGAACCUGAAACCGUGUACGUACAAGCAGUGGGAGCACCUUCGGGUGUGACUGCGUACCUUUUGUAUAAUGGGUCAGCGACUUAUAUUCUGUAGCAAGGUUAACCGUAUAGGGGAGCCGCAGGGAAACCGAGUCUUAACUGGGCGUUAAGUUGCAGGGUAUAGACCCGAAACCCGGUGAUCUAGCCAUGGGCAGGUUGAAGGUUGGGUAACACUAACUGGAGGACCGAACCGACUAAUGUUGAAAAAUUAGCGGAUGACUUGUGGCUGGGGGUGAAAGGCCAAUCAAACCGGGAGAUAGCUGGUUCUCCCCGAAAGCUAUUUAGGUAGCGCCUCGUGAAUUCAUCUUCGGGGGUAGAGCACUGUUUCGGCUAGGGGGUCAUCCCGACUUACCAACCCGAUGCAAACUACGAAUACCGAAGAAUGUUAUCACGGGAGACACACGGCGGGUGCUAACGUCCGUCGUGAAGAGGGAAACAACCCAGACCGCCAGCUAAGGUCCCAAAGUCAUGGUUAAGUGGGAAACGAUGUGGGAAGGCACAGACAGCCAGGAUGUUGGCUUAGAAGCAGCCAUCAUUUAAAGAAAGCGUAAUAGCUCACUGGUCGAGUCGGCCUGCGCGGAAGAUGUAACGGGGCUAAACCAUGCACCGAAGCUGCGGCAGCGACACUAUGUGUUGUUGGGUAGGGGAGCGUUCUGUAAGCCUGCGAAGGUGUGCUGUGAGGCAUGCUGGAGGUAUCAGAAGUGCGAAUGCUGACAUAAGUAACGAUAAAGCGGGUGAAAAGCCCGCUCGCCGGAAGACCAAGGGUUCCUGUCCAACGUUAAUCGGGGCAGGGUGAGUCGACCCCUAAGGCGAGGCCGAAAGGCGUAGUCGAUGGGAAACAGGUUAAUAUUCCUGUACUUGGUGUUACUGCGAAGGGGGGACGGAGAAGGCUAUGUUAGCCGGGCGACGGUUGUCCCGGUUUAAGCAUGUAGGCUGGUUGUCCAGGCAAAUCCGGAUAAUCAAGGCUGAGGUGUGAUGACGAGGCACUACGGUGCUGAAGUAACAAAUGCCCUGCUUCCAGGAAAAGCCUCUAAGCAUCAGGUAACAUCAAAUCGUACCCCAAACCGACACAGGUGGUCAGGUAGAGAAUACCAAGGCGCUUGAGAGAACUCGGGUGAAGGAACUAGGCAAAAUGGUGCCGUAACUUCGGGAGAAGGCACGCUGGUGUGUAGGUGAAGCCCCUGCGGGUGGAGCUGAGACCAGUCGAAGAUACCAGCUGGCUGCAACUGUUUAUUAAAAACACAGCACUGUGCAAACACGAAAGUGGACGUAUACGGUGUGACGCCUGCCCGGUGCCGGAAGGUUAAUUGAUGGGGUUAUCCGUAAGGAGAAGCUCUUGAUCGAAGCCCCGGUAAACGGCGGCCGUAACUAUAACGGUCCUAAGGUAGCGAAAUUCCUUGUCGGGUAAGUUCCGACCUGCACGAAUGGCGUAAUGAUGGCCAGGCUGUCUCCACCCGAGACUCAGUGAAAUUGAACUCGCUGUGAAGAUGCAGUGUACCCGCGGCAAGACGGAAAGACCCCGUGAACCUUUACUAUAGCUUGACACUGAACAUUGAGCCUUGAUGUGUAGGAUAGGUGGGAGGCUUUGAAGCGUGGACGCCAGUCUGCGUGGAGCCAACCUUGAAAUACCACCCUUUAAUGUUUGAUGUUCUAACGUUGGCCCCUGACCGGGGUUGCGGACAGUGUCUGGUGGGUAGUUUGACUGGGGCGGUCUCCUCCCAAAGCGUAACGGAGGAGCACGAAGGUUAGCUAAUCCUGGUCGGACAUCAGGAGGUUAGUGCAAUGGCAUAAGCUAGCUUGACUGCGAGCGUGACGGCGCGAGCAGGUGCGAAAGCAGGUCAUAGUGAUCCGGUGGUUCUGAAUGGAAGGGCCAUCGCUCAACGGAUAAAAGGUACUCCGGGGAUAACAGGCUGAUACCGCCCAAGAGUUCAUAUCGACGGCGGUGUUUGGCACCUCGAUGUCGGCUCAUCACAUCCUGGGGCUGAAGUAGGUCCCAAGGGUAUGGCUGUUCGCCAUUUAAAGUGGUACGCGAGCUGGGUUUAGAACGUCGUGAGACAGUUCGGUCCCUAUCUGCCGUGGGCGCUGGAGAAUUGAGGGGGGCUGCUCCUAGUACGAGAGGACCGGAGUGGACGCAUCACUGGUGUUCGGGUUGUCAUGCCAAUGGCACUGCCCGGUAGCUAAAUGCGGAAGAGAUAAGUGCUGAAAGCAUCUAAGCACGAAACUUGCCCCGAGAUGAGUUCUCCCUGAGACUUUAAGUCUCCUGAAGGAACGUUGAAGACGACGACGUUGAUAGGCCGGGUGUGUAAGCGCAGCGAUGCGUUGAGCUAACCGGUACUAAUGAACCGUGAGGCUUAACCUU